AGAGUUUGAUCCUGGCUCAGGACGAACGCUGGCGGCGUGCUUCAUACAUGCAAGUCGAGCGGGGUCCAUCCAGUGGCAACACUGGUGAAGACCUAGCGGCGAACGGGUGAGUAACACGUGAGGAACCUGCCCCAGAGACCGGGAUAACUCUCCGAAAGGAGAGCUAAUACCGGAUACCCCCACCGGAUCGCAUGGUCUGGUGAGGAAAUGGAUUCCGCUCUGGGAGGGCCUCGCGGCCUAUCAGCUUGUUGGUGAGGUAACGGCUCACCAAGGCGUCGACGGGUAGCUGGUCUGAGAGGACGGUCAGCCACACUGGGACUGAGACACGGCCCAGACUCCUACGGGAGGCAGCAGUAGGGAAUCUUGCGCAAUGGGCGAAAGCCUGACGCAGCAACGCCGCGUGGGGGAUGAAGGCUCUCGGGUUGUAAACCCCUUUCAGCAGGGACGAUUAUGACGGUACCUGCAGAAGAAGGACCGGCCAACUACGUGCCAGCAGCCGCGGUAAUACGUAGGGUCCGAGCGUUGUCCGGAUUUAUUGGGCGUAAAGAGCUCGUAGGCGGCUCGGUAAGUCGGAUGUGAAAACUCGGGGCUCAACCCCGAGACGCCAUCCGAUACUGCCGUGGCUUGAGUCUGGUAGGGGAACACGGAAUUCCUGGUGUAGCGGUGAAAUGCGCAGAUAUCAGGAGGAACACCAAUGGCGAAGGCAGUGUUCUGGGCCAGUACUGACGCUGAGGAGCGAAAGCGUGGGUAGCAAACAGGAUUAGAUACCCUAGUAGUCC
rnacentral:rRNA from 1 species